rfam:Triticum urartu cultivar G1812 contig422359, whole genome shotgun sequence.
UAUGCACUCUCUUCAUCCUAAAAUUCUUGUCUUACAUUUGUCUAAAUAUGGAUGUAUCAAGUCACAUGUUAGUAUUAAAUACAUCCGUAUUUAGAUAAAUCUAAGACAAAAGUUUUGGAACGGAAAGAGUAGUAA